UACGGGGGGGGCAAGCGUUGUUCGGAAUUACUGGGCGUAAAGCGCACGUAGGCGGCUUUGCAAGUCAGAGGUGAAAGCCCGGGGCUCAACCCCGGAAUUGCCUUUGAGACUGCAUCGCUAGAAUUGUGGAGAGGUAAGUGGAAUUCCGAGUGUAGAGGUGAAAUUCGUAGAUAUUCGGAAGAACACCAGUGGCGAAGGCGACUUACUGGACACAUAUUGACGCUGAGGUGCGAAAGCGUGGGGAGCAAACAGG
rnacentral:rRNA from 1 species